CCUACGGGAGGCAGCAGUGGGGAAUCUUAGACAAUGGGGGAAACCCUGAUCUAGCCAUGCCGCGUGGACGAUGAAGGCCUUAGGGUUGUAAAGUCCUUUCAGCUGGGGAAGAUAAUGACGGUACCAGCAGAAGAAGCCCCGGCUAACUCCGUGC
rnacentral:rRNA from 1 species